UUUCCAGGAACUCUCGUUUUCUCUAUGCGAAGAUAAUUCGUGCAUCAAGACACCUUCGUCGCCUAACGAAAGAUUUCCUCUACAAGGUUUGUAUCUCUCUGUAACCACUUUUUCCUGCUUUAUAUACCUUUCCAUUCGUUAGGAAAAGAAAAUAGAAAAAAAGAUUUCUAACCGUUAAUAAAAAAAAACUCGAUUCAAAAAAUAAUCCUCUUACUACUCUGGAGUAGAAUCUCCGAUGCUCGACACUUAAUGAAACGUCUUAAAUGACAAACGGGGAUUUGCUUCAUUAAUAAAAUCAUCCGUGUAAUGCCUCAGAAAAAAUUACGCUAACUGAUUUGUCUUUUUUUUGUGUUUUUUUUUAACAUAAAUGCCCUACAACGGACUGCAUAUUGUACGCUUCAUUAAUUUAAUUGCGCUAUAUCAUAAACUAUAGCCUAUACGUUUUAACUAACAAAUUUACUCGCGGUGCUCUCGGGAGAACUCGGAAAAAGUGGAUAUAAAAAAGAAAAAAUGAUCCACUAGCGAUAAAUCUACUAAAAUAUUCGUUGUUAAAUGGAAAUUUAAUUAUGUCUGACUGGCUGUCUGGAAAAAAAAACGAGUUGACAUUAUUUCGCAGUCGGAAAAAACGUUGGAGAAAAUAAUGGAGUUUCAUUGACGAGAGAAUAUUCUCUCCGAUGGCAGAUAAGUGGAUUUGGUUAUCUUAGCGCCGCUUUUGUCACUCGAAACGUUUCGUAUAACUUAAUACUGGGUGAAAGCGAGCGUUAAACGAAAUUAAUUCGGGUAAUUUAGUAGGCAUUUUGCCGUUCAAAUACCGCAAUUUUUGCACUUUUCGAUUGUCGAAAAUAAGCGGCGAGCCAUGGGAAACUUUAAACUUAAAUCUUAUCGCAUCCGUAAUAAGAUAAAUGCAGGAAGUCUUGCAGCGACCAAGCCAAUUCUGUAUUUCACCAGGUGGUAAGAUGCUAGGUGUCAGGGGUGUGGCAGAAUCGCACCUUGGUAGGUACCCCAUGGUUUUUGAUUCAAGUUCUCCCCUUACCUCGGGGCGGUGGACUUCGAUUAAUAGCAUACUUUCCGAGUCAGAAAAAUUUUCUUUUUCUGCUCCGUACGCUUUCCUGUUACGUAUAUAAUUGGUAUCUGGUCUUUUAUCGUUACUUUUAUAGUAGUAAUUAUAAAUUUUGUUACCGUAAAAGCAGCGGUAGAUAUUUUUUUAACUGCCGCCAGUGCUAUUAUGAGUUAAAUUUAAACGGUAAGUAGGACGAAACAGAUGUAGUAAGCUAGGCAAAAACGUUAGCAAUUAACUGAAUCGAUAUUUAAUUUUAUUUAUUAGGAGCGCGCCAUAGGACAGCGUGUCGGCUCUCACACUUCCCGUUUCAGCAAAAGUAGCAGCUGUACAAAUUUAUGAUAAACGAUUGUAAUUCCCCUAGCGGUGGCCGAUAAAGAAAAAAGGGAACGAAGGGGGGAGAGGAAAAAGCCACAUUGCCCGGUCUUCGGGAUAUGGGACCAAUUAACCACCCCCCCGACCCACUGAAAGGGCGGGAAGGAAACAAAAAUCGUGCUUCGGCUUUUGGAUACAUAGAAGGGGUUGUCGGCGCCUUUGACUGGCCGAGCCCUGCAGGGUCUGACAUACAUCCGUCUUCUUUCCCUGCGAGUUCCUCACCAACGUAGCCGGAGGCUUGGAUAAACCCGAUGGUUAAGUGGCUCUAUUCAUUGCCUGACCGUCUGGACUCACCUGCCUCUUCUCUUUGAUGUCGACCGACGACUCUUCUCGACAUUGUGGAUCUGUUCGUCCCCCCAGAACACAGAUGGGGCCGGCAUGCUGGGACUAAUCAAAGUCCCCUCCACUCGGGGGGGAGGUGGAUAGUCCUGGCGGCGUACCACAAGGGAGCUAUUGUCAGCGAUUCUUUGGAAAGUCAGGAUUGCAGAUAUGGCAUAUCAGUGAGGCCUGUCGAAAUGUCAGGUAAGAGGAAAAUAAGAUUUUUAACGUUCUGUGAUCCGACCAGCAGUCCGAGUCUAUGCCGAAUUUUUCUCCAGUUUAUUCUAGCAGUUUUGAAUUGAUACAGGUCUGGGCGGCGAGAGACGCUACAUCAUUAAAAUUCCAAAGUAUUUUUCAGAUAAGAUUGCACGCAGUACAGAAACUUCGCAAACGGUAUCGCUUUCUAAGAAACAGCUACGGUUGGGGAUGUUCCUCUUCCGAGAAAUUACUACACGAAAUGUUUUGUGGAUCUUUAUCUGCACGCGCUUCGUGGGGGCUUAAGAACCGUGUUUCGAUUAGUAAAGUAAGACGACACGUGAGAGAAAACAUAAUACAAUAUAGGUUCUGUCUGACUAAUAGCGUACAGUGUGCGUGUCGCCAAGAGAGAACAAUCGACAGAUUUUGAAAUAUUCUCGAGCGCACAAACGGUCGUUGACCAUCCUGAAAUCGUAUCUUUCACUAAUUAACAAUAGCAAAUCGCAGACUAAAUGUGAAUGGAAGAGUAAAAGGAUCACUGACAUAAGCCACCCGCUGGUUGUUGACCUUGAAGUUUGGUGUGGUAGAAUUUAUCCUUGUAUUCGUCUAGCGCCAUCUCUUUUAAAAUAAAUAAACUAUCUUCAAUUUUUAUUUAUUUUUAAUUUAGUACGUUUAAUUAAGUAAUUAAAACAAUAGCAGUUUUGUUUGCAGUAGUUCUUCCACCUGAAGAUGAUACCUCCAACAUGAAGAAAUUAGAAGAG
rnacentral:lncRNA from 1 species